CGCCGCUGCUGCUGCACUUGCUGCUGCUGCUGCGGAAUUUUUCGUUGUUGUUGUUGUUGUUGUUGGUGCUGUCGCUAUUGUUGGUCCGGCUGACAGACGUAUCAAAUGUCUUUCAUAGGUAGCCAAACGCUUCCUAUUCCGUGCAUGUCGCUGCGCUUGGUAUUUGCAUGCUUUGGCUUACAGCUUGGACUCGGCAUUUGGCGUAGGGCAUUUCCCGAUUCAUUUGACCGACCCAUAAACAACGCCCAUUUCGAAGCAAAGCUUCUUCGACUAACUGAACUUGUGUAACCGAAUACGAAUGAGUUUGUGUGUUUAUGGUUCUCUGUUAUUUUUAGUUUCUUUGUUUUUUUUUGCUUAUAUUUGCACUUCCCUUUUAUGUC